UACGAAGGGGACUAGCGUUGUUCGGAAUUACUGGGCGUAAAGCGCACGUAGGCGGAUUUGUUAGUCAGGGGUGAAAUCCCGGGGCUCAACCUCGGAACUGCCUUUGAUACUGCAAAUCUCGAGUCCGAUAGAGGUGGGUGGAAUUCCUAGUGUAGAGGUGAAAUUCGUAGAUAUUAGGAAGAACACCGGUGGCGAAGGCGGCAUCCUGGACCGGCAUUGACGCUGAGGCGCGAAAGCCAGGGGAGCAAACGGG
rnacentral:rRNA from 1 species